GAGGCUCGAAGGCGAUCAGAUACCGCCCUAGUUCUAACCAUAAACGAUGCCAGCCAGCGAUCCGGCUGUGUUCCUCAAAUGACACGCCGGGCAGCUUCCGGGAAACCAAAGCUUUUGGGUUCCGGGGGAAGUAUGGUUGCAAAGCUUAAACUUAAAGGAAUUGACGGAAGGGCACCACAAGCCAUGGAGCAUGCGGUUCAAUUUGACUCAACACGGGAAAUCUUAUCCGGCCCGGACACAGGAAGGAUUGACAGAUUAAGAGCUCUUUCUUGAUUCUGUGAGUGGUGGUGCAUGGCCGUUCUUAGUUGGUGGAGUGAUUUGUCUGCUUAAUUGCGAUAACGAACGAGACUCUAGCCUACUAAAUAGGCGUUCCGAUCCUCUUAGUCGGACGCUCUUCUUAGGGGGACAGGCGGCGACUAGCCGCACGAGACAGAGCAAUAACAGGUCUGUGAUGCCCUCAGAUGUCCGGGGCCACACGCGCGCUACAUUGAAGGAAUCAGCGUGUGCUUUCCCUGUCCGACAGGACUGGGUAACCCGUUGAACCUCCUUCGUGCUGGGGAUAGGGGCUUGCAAUUCUUCCCCUUGAACGAGGAAUGCCUAGUAAGCACGAGUCAUCAAUUCGUGUUGAUUAGGUCCCUGCCCUUUGUACACACCGCCCGUCGCUAUAAGCGAUUGAAUGGUUUAGUGAGGUCUUCGGACUGGCGCUCGAAUUGGCCUUCCGGUCGAGUCGACGUGCCGGAAAGAUGACCAAACUUGAUCAUUUAGAGCAUAUAAAAGUCGU
rnacentral:rRNA from 8 species